CACGUAGGGCGCGAGCGUUGUCCGGAAUUAUUGGGCGUAAAGAGCUCGUAGGCGGCCUGUUGCGUCCGCUGUGAAAGCCCGGGGCUUAACCCCGGGCUUGCAGUGGAUACGGGCAGGCUAGAGGCAGGCAGGGGAGAACGGAAUUCCCGGUGUAGCGGUGAAAUGCGCAGAUAUCGGGAGGAACACCGGUGGCGAAGGCGGUUCUCUGGGCCUGUACUGACGCUGAGGAGCGAAAGCGUGGGGAGCGAACAGG
rnacentral:rRNA from 1 species